GACCCUUUCAUUUUCUUACACUGUGCACACACUUCUUUUUUACACACACUUUUAACACAUUAGUAUAAGAAUGUAAUAGUCUCUUAAUUGAGCAUAAACAAAAUUAAAACUUUCAGCAACGGAUCUCUUGGCUCUCGCAUCGAUGAAGAACGCAGCGAAUUGCGAUAAGUAAUGUGAAUUGCAGAAUUCAGUGAAUCAUCGAAUCUUUGAACGCACCUUGCACUCUUUGGUAUUCCGAAGAGUAUGUCUGUUUGAGUGUCAUGAAACUCUCAACCCCCUUAUUUUGUAAUGAAAUGAGUGUGGGCUUGGAUUAUGGUUGUCUGUCGGCGUAAUUGCCGGCUCAACUGAAAUACACGAGCAACCCUAUUGAAAUAGACGGUUUGACUUGGCGUAAUAAUUAUUUCGCUAAGGACGUCUUCUUCAAAUGUAAGAGGUGCUUCUAAUUCGCUAUUAAAGCAACUUAAGCUUUAGACCUCAAAUCAGUCAGGAUUACCCGCUGAACUUAAGCAUAUCAAUAAGCGGAGGAAAAGAAACUAACAAGGAUUCCCCUAGUAACGGCGAGUGAAGUGGGAAAAGCUCAACUUUGAAAUCUGGCACCUUCGGUGUCCGAGUUGUAGUCUCAAGAAGUGUUUUCUGUGCUGGUCCAUGUAUGAGUCUGUUGGAACACAGCGUCAUAGAGGGUGACAACCCCGUUCAUGACAUGGAUACCAGUGCUUUGUGAUACACUCUCGAAGAGUCGAGUUGUUUGG
rnacentral:rRNA from 1 species